rnacentral:rRNA from 1 species
AUUGAACGCUGGCGGCAUGCCUUACACAUGCAAGUCGAACGGCAGCACGGGUGCUUGCACCUGGUGGCGAGUGGCGAACGGGUGAGUAAUACAUCGGAACAUGUCCUGUAGUGGGGGAUAGCCCGGCGAAAGCCGGAUUAAUACCGCAUACGAUCUACGGAUGAAAGCGGGGGCCCUUCGGGCCUCGCGCUAUAGGGUUGGCCGAUGGCUGAUUAGCUAGUUGGUGGGGUAAAGGCCAACCAAGGCGACGAUCAGUAGCUGGUCUGAGAGGACGACCAGCCACACGGGGACUGAGACACGGCCCAGACGCCUACGGGAGGCAGCAGUGGGGAAUUGUGGACAAUGGGGGAAAGCCUGAUCCAGCAAUGCCGCGUGUGUGAAGAAGGCCUUCGGGUUGGAAAGCACUUUUGUCCGGAAAGAAAUCCUUGGCCCUAAGACGGACGGGGGAUGACGGUACCGGAAGAAUAAGCACCGGCUAACUACGUG